GGAAUCUUGCACAAUGGGCGAAAGCCUGAUGCAGUGACGCCGCGUGCGGGAUGACGGCCCUCGGGUUGUAAACCGCUUUCAGCCGGGACGAAAAUGACGGUACCUGCAGAAGUAGCCCCGGCCAAAUACGUGCCAGCAGCCGCGGUAAGACGUAGGGGGCGAGCGUUGUCCGGAUUUAUUGGGCGUAAAGAGCUCGUAGGCGGUUUGGUAAGUCGGAUGUGAAAUCUCCACGCUCAACGUGGAGGGGCCAUUCGGUACUGCCAUGACUAGAGUCCGGUAGAGGAAUGUGGAAUUCCCGGUGUAGCGGUGAAAUGCGCAGAGAUCGGGAGGAACACCCGUAGCGAAGGCGGCAUUCUGGGCCGGUACUGACGCUGAGGAGCGAAAGCGUGGGGAGCGAAC
rnacentral:rRNA from 1 species